rnacentral:rRNA from 1 species
GUGAGAACACGUAGCCAACCUACCCUAUGGACGGGGAUAACCUCGGGAAACUGAGGAUAAACCCCGAUAGAUCAUUUUACCUGGAACGGUUUACGGUCCAAAUGAUUCGUCGCCGUAGGAUGGGACUGCGGCCUAUCAGCUUGUUGGUGAGGUAAUGGCCCACCAAGGCUAUUACAGGUACGGGCUCUGAGAGGAGAAGCCCGGAGAUGGGUACUGAGACACGGACCCAGGUCCUAUGGGGCGCAGCAGGCGAGAAAACUUUGCAAUGUGCGCAAGCACGACAAGGUUAAUCCGAGUGAUUCCUGCUAAAGGAAUCUUUUGUUAGUUGUAAAACCACUGAUGAAUAAGGGGUGGGCAAGUUCUGGUGUCAGCCGCCGCGGUAAAACCAGCACCUCAAGUGGUCAGGAGGAUUAUUGGGCCUAAAGCAUCCGUAGCCUGCUUUGUAAGUUUUCGGUUAAAUCCAUCAGCUCAACUGAUGGGCCGCCGAAAAAACUGCAAAGCUAGGGAGUGGGAGAGGUAGACGGUACUCGAUAGGAAGGGGUAAAAUCCUUUGAUCUAUUGAUGACCACCUGUGGCGAAGGCGGUCUACCAGAACACGUUCGACGGCGAGGGAUGAAAGCUGGGGGAGCAAACCGGAUUAGAUACCCGGGUAGUCCCAGCUGU